rnacentral:pre_miRNA from 1 species
AACAAGUAUAGUUUUACACGGUUCAUAUCCAACGUUUGAUCAUUCAUCUUAUUUUAAAAAUAUUUAUAAUUAAUAUUUUUAUUUUUAUUAAUUGAUAAAAUAUAAAUAAUAUUUUAUGUAUGACUAUUUUUAAAAUUUUUUAUAAAUUUUUAAAUAAAACGGACGAUCUGUUAAAUACGGAUACUCAUAGCUGCAUUUAUU